GUGAUUGAUCAAGGAGGAACAGGGCCUCCACCUGGGUCUGGGCUGGAUGUAACCCCGUCGGGUUCGGGGACGCCUGGCAGCCCGAUCCCACGCCCGGCUUCUCGCUAUGGGUUUUUUUCUUGGGGGGGGGGCACAAAGGAGGAGAGCGGAGGAGGGGAGCGGGAGGCCCACGGGGAGGCUCAGCCCCUCUCCCAGCGCAGAAAGCUGGCACUGCCAGCCGCGGCCACAGGCGACGCUCUUCUCGCUCCCCUCCCCCUCACGCCUUAUCGGAGCCCGGCGUGUCCCUUAUCACGUUGGGUCUCUUUCUAAUCGUCGCCGUCGCCGACGCAUUCUCUCCGCCAUCGUCGUUACCUCUCCCUCGAACCUUCUCUGUGUAACUAUUACCGCUGCAGUCGGUCGUCUCGUGGGCUGCAUCGCAAGGAAAACACCUGAGUUUGGAGCCUCUCUCUCUCUGCCAUCCGGGGUGAUUUUAGGGAGCAAUUGUAAAGAAAAAUGGAGGGGAGCACUAAGAAGCAAGAAGCAAAGGUGGCAAAUGAGCCAACUGAUUCCACCCUCGAAAAACAGCCAGCCCCAACCCCCCCACAAGGGGAAUCGGAAGCCGAUAGUUCCGAGGAAGAAGUUCCCCAAGAGCUGAAAGUGUGGGGCUACGGAGGGGCCGAAGGGGGGGGCUGCUGGCUGCAGGAGGAGGCCUUGAGCAUUCCUGGAUCGGCGGAGGAGGAUGAGGAGAGUGAGGCUAUCCAAGCCAUGGCGCUCGGGGUGGAAUUACAGUGCAGGCUCCAGCUCCACCUGGAUCAGCUGGAGGCCAAGGCCAAAUCCAGGGCCAGGGCCAGGGCCAGGGCCAGGGCCAGGGCCGCGAUGGCUGCCAGACGGGGCAGCCCGGAACGCGCCCUGGGAGCUUCGGCAAGUCCGGCAGCCGCGGCCCGCCCUCAGCCCUUGGUGGUCCGGGGCAGUCGGGGGGAGCCCCACAUCCGAGCUCAAGAGACGGAGGCCUCCCUGGGGCAGGCCCCUGAGGAAGUCAAACCAGGUGUGAAGGGAGGCCGAGAUCCAUUCGGGGCUCCCGUUCGGAAAACGGGAAAGGGCCCCAGAGGAAAGGAAGCUGCUGCUAAAGCUCGGGAAGGUCCGCCGGCCUCUAAUCCUCCUAGUAUCUGCCAGAGAAGAGAGAACUACCCAAAUCUGGAGCUGAAAGGCUCGAGAGCCACGUUCUCAGGGACCCCAGUAGCCAGAAGCCGGGAGAGACCCCAAGUCCGCUCGGGGAGCAGCUGGAGAGGUGAGACCAGGGAGCCCUUCCGCCCGCCCACCACGUGCCUUCCUCAUCUGCUCUUUGCUUCAUCUCUCAAUGAAAAACCCAAGUUGCGCUUGGACAAGACCUCAGCCCGAAGCCCGGCCGAGCUCCCCGGGCCUCCAUUCCCCCUCUUUCAAAGAAGACGAUGACCGUUGGGAUCUUUCCAGCUCAGUGUCUGCUCCUCAUUCUCGGCCUCUUUCCGCCCCUCAGACCCUGCCGCGUGACCUUAGAAAGCCCCUUCCCCUCCCCCCUGUCCCCCUGCCUAACUGUCUCAUCUGUCUCUCUCGGACAUGCUCCGAACACAGGUUGCCCGUAUUUCCCAGCUAGCAUCGGGGUUCCUCUCCCCUCACCUCCAGCACGGAGCCCUAGUGUAUGGCAGGUGCCCCCCGCCAGGAAGGCCAAUGGGGGGGGGGGGGUUUGGCCCCUGCCCCCGGGUUCUCCUGCCCCUGGGUUCAGAUGUGUUUGUGUGCGCUCGCGUGACCCCAGGCAAGUCCCUUCUCUUGAAGCCUCAGUUUCCUCCUUUGCCCCCGGCGAAUGGAGGGGGCUGGGCAUCCACACCCUGGAAGCUCUUUUCCAGCCCUUGCCUCGCGUGUCUGUGCGCGAGUUCGGGCCCACGGCCGUCCCCCGCCGUCGUCAGCACGGCCACUUCUGCCGCCUCGGCCGCACCCCGCAGACUCUCGUGGUGUCCCAUACGUGCGGCCCCCUCCCCCACCCCCGGCACCCGGCCCACACUCCUCCAGAAGCAGAGGAGGCCUCUGUCUACCCCUCUCCACCUUGCGGCCCGUCUGAGCCAGAGACGUCUGCCGGUGGCAGGAAGGAAGAGUCCCAAGCUCCCGGCAAGUCUCCCGCUCCAGGGCCUCCAGCAGAAGAAAAUACAAAGGAAGAGCCUCUAGCGGGAACUGAAGGCCUCGUUCCCACGAGUCCCCACGCAGCAAGCGCCAGGGGGGUACCCUGGGCCUCGGUCUCCAUGAAGAGAAGCCUCCAGAAGCGAAGCAGUCCCUGCCUCAGUGAGCUCAUGUGGUGCUGGAGGAGAUGGAAGAAGGAGUGAAAAAGCAAGAGACGCAGGGUGCCGGGCUGGGCCCUGCCACGGGGCCCAGUGGGGAAUGGCUUCCUGGAAAAGGGAGGCAGCCCCGGGGCUGCUCAGUGAAGAUGAUCCGUAAGGUGCACGGGAGUCGCUCGGGACCCUCUUCUCCCCCAGGCCCCACUUGAGCUGCUAGGUCAGAGCCUUACGUCUCCUGUUGGAACCACACCCCGCCAGACGCCCGGCCGGCCGUUGGGCCUUAGGAGUCUCUUGAGGGAGGGGCCCCUGCUCAGAGGCCCUGGUCCCCGGUUUUGGAAUCCUUAAGUCCAAGCAGUUCCCUGGGGUCUCCGGAGGACCUAGAGCCGGUGGGGUGCUGGAAGGUUGGGAUCUGCCACCCUUUAGGCUCCUCUCUCCGCCUUGUCACCGAGAUCUCGGUUACGUCCCCCCUACUUGCUGGGGCCGUCUCCCCAGUUACCCCGUCUCCCUUAAGCUCCCUCCCAUCCCUAAGUCUUGAACCUGGGGAGCCAGGCUGGGCCCCCAGGGAGGGGGGGGGGCGACCUCGGCCACGGUUUGUCUCUGUAGCUCCUCGGUGCCCGGCAUGGAAGAGAGAUUCAAAAAA
rnacentral:lncRNA from 1 species